rnacentral:piRNA from 1 species
UGAUUAUGGGUUUCCUGGUGAUAUGUGU